rnacentral:rRNA from 1 species
UACGUAGGGGGCUAGCGUUGCUCGGAAUGACUGGGCGUAAAGGGCGCGUAGGCGGAUGGCACAGUCAGAUGUGAAAUUCCCGGGCUUAACCUGGGGGCUGCAUUUGAUACGUGUUGUCUAGAGUGAGGAAGAGGGUCGUGGAAUUCCCAGUGUAGCGGUGAAAUGCGUAGAUAUUGGGAGGAAUACCGGUGGCGAAGGCGGCUCCCUGGACCGGUACUGACGCUGAGGCGCGAAAGCGUGGGUAGCAAACAGG